ensembl:antisense 3110056K07Rik RIKEN cDNA 3110056K07 gene
CGAACACGCACGUUAUUGGAGAAUAGAGGAUUGAGUAAGAGAGCCCAAAAAUUUGAUUGGAGGAGCCGACUCCGGAUGUGCUUGACUGAACACUGAUUGGAGAACAGAGGGGUCAGGAAGAGCAGUUCCGCACGAGGAUUGGGCGGUGGCGUGUCCCAUGGAAACGGAAUCCAGAACUGCAGCCAGGGUUUUUCACGGGGGCGGAGCCGGCUCUUCCCCAGGCGCCUGCGCCUAACCGGUUCCCCGGCGCCAUUUUGUCCCGGCAGCAGCAGCCCGCAGCUCUAUCCCAUUUUCUGUGUCUGGAGGGAAGGACGCGGACUCUCUCGGAGUUGUGCUGAAGACAACAGACACCUCCAUGACAACCCAAAGUAUCACAGAGGAAAUGAAAAGCUGUGGACUCAUUCAAAGUUAAUUAAGAUUAGGUAUGACCAUGGAAGACUUAUGUAUGACCAUGGAAGACUUCUAGAGAAUCUUGACUGGUGAUGUGGAAAAAGAGACCCAGAAGAACAAAAAAACAGGUGACUGUAAUGCUGGUCCCCCUGUGCAGGAACAGCUCAGGAGACUGUCGGAGACAUGAGUGUCCUUGUAGAAGCCAGCAGUCUUGUUGGCUGUCAGGUCCUCAUGACUUAGUAUUAUUACAUGUCAUCCUUUCAUGUGGCAUGAAUGAGGAUUUAUAAAGCCCUAUUACGGUUUGGUUAUGCAGUCCAAACAGACUUACAAAGAUUUACAGAUUAAUUUUACUGCUCAAGCAUAGAGCAGAGACUCCUCAUUAGCUAAUUUGUGCAUACUACACUUUCCGUACACGUGUUACUGCAAAAAUGUCCCUACAGUGUUACCAGAGCUGGGGCAGGAAGUAAGGGUGGAAUUCCUGAGCUCACUGACACUGAUGCUGAAGGAAGCAGGAGGUGGGCGGAGCUGGCAGUGGUGAGAGCCACGUGGAUACAUGGGAUGGUGGAGGAGUCAGGAAAAGUUAGUAGCUAGCUGAGACUGUCCUAGCAAAAGACCAACAGCUUUAUUUUCUUCAAAAUUUAAUAAUAAACUGUAGAAAUAAACUAUUUUGAAAG